GUGCAGCAGUCGCGAAUCUUCCCCAAUGGACGAAAGUCUGAGGGAGCGACGCCGCGUGAAUGAAGAAGCCCUUCGGGGUGUAAAAUUCUUUUCUUUAGGAAAAAUUCGUGACGGUACUAAAGGAAUAAGGGGCCGCCAAACUCGUGCCAGCAGCGGCGGUAAUACGAGUGCCCCGAGCGUUAUCCGGAAUUACUGGGCGUAAAGCGCUAAAAGGCGGUUUGAUAAGUCAGACGUCAAAUCUCCGAGCUCAACUCGGAGCCGGUGUCUGAAACUGUCUAACUUGAGGACGGAAGAGGCAAGCGGAAUGGCUGGUGUAGCAGUAAAAUGCGUUAAUAUCAGCUAGAACACCAAUGGCGAAGGCAGCUUGCUGGGACGUUCCUGACGCUAAAUAGCGAAAGCGUGGGUAGCGAAAGGGAUUAGAUACCCCGUAGUCCCUGAGACUACCAAGGCACACAGGGAUAGG
rnacentral:rRNA from 1 species